ACGCGUGUGUAUAUGCGCGCGCCUUUAUUUAUGUUUGAAUGCAAAUAUAGCAUUAACAGCCAUUACUAAUGAGUAAAUGCAUACCUGAAAGUUAAAAAUAAAAGAAGUGCAACUAUGGGACAAUUCUGAUGUGGAUAAAUUACUUAGCACGUAACAUGGCUGUACGUUGUUAAUACAGUGUACGUGUGUGUUCCAUAUGCUCUGUGUGUGAUUCACAGGCUAAAGUUCGCCCUUCAUGGAUGGGUAGACAUGACAAGUAGACGCUCGAUAUCAAGUUACACAUAGAACGUGCAGGCCAGCAGGACAGGAAUGUUGUUGACAAUAAGGGCGUCCGCGGUGACACGGUUACUGUUCUGUAUCCGUCUCCACCACAGUGAAAACAAUUUCAAAAUUCGUUUAUAAAGUGGCAGGGUAUUCGUGACACUUGAACGUAACUCGGUUGACGAGUGUCGUCCGACUCUCUUUCUGCAGGGUGAAGGAAACACAAGGGCAUUUCCACGAAAAACUUAACUUAGUAGUGAAUUUGUGAAUAUUAGUUUAAACUGUAUCGUCACCAAGAGAGUCCCACACUUAUUCUGUUAACAUUUUCAAGGAACCCCACACCAAAAGAACCAAAAGUAAAUUUAGACAUUCAUGGCAACUGAACCAAUGGAUUUGGAGUCAUUGAUUAGAUGUCGGAAAAUGAGAUCCUGAAGACAAACUGUUAAACAAAUUACAUUGCAUAUUGAUAUUGAGAACAGAAUGAUAGAAAUAAUAGAACAGUUUCAACUGAUAUGUGAAAGAAAAACUGGGGCAGUGGGUGAAAUUGCUGCUGAAAAUGAAA